GAGAGAGGAGAAGGUGGAGGUGGAGGUGGAGAAGGAGGAGGAGGUGAAGGUGGAGGAGGAGGUAACUUUAUUCUCUUACAGUCCUCAAAUAAGGCAACCACGAGGUCUGUUUUUUUUCUUUUUAAAGGAGGAGGAGGAGGAGGAGGAACAAAGAAACACAAAGAGAGAACAAACAACAGCAGGCCUGCUGGUCCUAACGAGGCUGUUUGUGAUAAGCUACACUAACUAUCUAAUCAAAGGUGGAAGAUGAAGGACAGCAAAGGCGAAGGCCGUGGUGAGCAAAUCAGGGAAGUAAAGUAACGGAACAGGCCGAGGCAGCAAAACUAUAAUAUAGUCGCCAAGUCAGUCAGUUCGGGGCCUCGCCAUUCACGCCAAUCCCGGGCAGAAUCUUGGCGGUUCAGUCUCCUUCCUUCGCCCUGUCAACUUCCAACUUUCGUCACAUCACUUUCCUUCCUUCCCUCGUUCCUUCCUUCCUUCCCUCGUUUCUUCCUUCCUUCCUUCCUUCCCUCGUUGUUGCUUUCCUUCCUUCCUUCUCUCGUUUCUUCCUUCCUUCCUUCCUUCCCUCGUUGUUGCUUUCCUUCCUUCCUUCCCUCGUUCCUUCCUUUGUCCUGUCAUCUUUCUCCUUCCUCUCUUCCUCCUGUCACCUUCCCCCCUUUAUUUCUCCCUUCCUCUGUCGCCUUCCUUCGGCCUUCGUCCUGCCAUCCUUGAUCCAACAAAAACGGUCUCCGGCGCCUUCACUGUAUUUUCGAUUGAUUUUAUAUAAUCCCGUCUGGAAUUUUAAGAGACUCAUCUUGCGAUCCACCCUCCUCGCCUCGCGGGGCUGGGGAGCGUCAGGGGGCCCAAGGCCUUCCUGGCGAGCGUCGCAGGGCUCAGGGCUCCGGCAGGGCGCCUCGGCUCCCCCGGAGCGUCCACGGAGGUGUCGGAGAUCCCGAGGGUCCGGGGGUUGGGGGGGCGUGAAGUGGCAGCAAGACAUGCAGUUAUUGACCUCUUAUUAGCCAGGCGACGCGUUAAUGACACGUUCCAAUGGAAGGUUCGACGCAUGGGGAGGUACAAUUCCCCUAAGCAAGGCAAGUGUCAUGCCAACUACGAUAAAAAACGAAAAAUCCAAAAAAAAUACAAAAACAAAAAAUCCAAAAAAAAUUGUCUUGUUUUGCUUUGUUUAAAGCGUCUUGUAUGUUGGUAUGGCGGGUCUUCUCUGGGGAGAAGGAGACUAACGCGUUCCAACAUACAAAACCAGGAAAAGACGACAUGGAAACACCGAGAGAAGGAAGGGAAAGAAGGGAACACCAGAAGAAGGAAAAUACAGAGAAGUAACACAAGAAGAAGGAAUAUGAAGUAACACAAGAAGAAGGAAUUUGAAGUAACACAAGAAGAAGGAAUAUGAAGUAACACAAGAAGAAGGAAUAUGAAGUAACACAAGAAGAAGGAAUUUGAAGUAACACAAGAAGAAGGAAUAUGAAGUAACACAAGAAGAAGGAAUAUGAAGUAACACAAGAAGAAGGAAUUUGAAAAGAGUUACACAGAAGAAGGUAUUGAAAAGAGUUACACAGAAGAAGGUAUUGAAAAGAGUAACACAGAAGAAGGUAUUGAAAAGAGUAACACAGAAGAAGGUAUUGAAAAGAGUUACACAGAAGAAGGUAUUGAAAAGAGUAACACAGAAGAAGGUAUUGAAAAGAGUUACACAGAAGAAGGUAUUGAAAAGAGUUACACAGAAGAAGGUAUUGAAAAGAGUUACACAGAAGAAGGUAUUGAAAAGAGUAUAACAAGAAGAAGGAAUUUGAAAAGAGUAACACAAGAAGACGGAAUUUGAAGAGAAAUAACACAAGAAGAAGAAAUGUGAAGUAACACCGGAAGGAAAAUCCAGAGAAGUAACACAAGAAAAAUGAAAAUGGAAAUGAAAAGAAUCAUCCACCUUUCGGCCCAAACCAACAUCACAAAAUUAUGGGCGAGUCUCUUCUGGGAGGAAAGCGGCUCGUUCAGACCCAGGAACACCAGAAAGGAUGAUAGAAACGUCAAGAAAAGGAAAACAAAAAAGUCAUCCACCUUUCGGCCCCUGGGGCCGCAGGGUGGGUGACGGGUGAAUCUCCUCUGGGGAGAAGGAGGCUAACCCACACAGUCAAGAUAGAGGAUAGAGAAAGGAAAUGAAAUCAUCGAGAAAAGAAAAUGAAAUUACAAUAUCAAGAAAAUAACUAAAAAGUCAUCCAGCUUUCGGCCCCUGGGGCCGCAGGGCGGGUGACGGGUGAGUCUUCUGGGGAGGAGGAGGCUCAUCCACACCCAGCAACACCAACAGAAAGAAAAGAAAAGAAAACAUCAAGAGAAAAGAAAAGAAAACAUCAAGAGAAAAGAAAAGAAAACAUCAAGAGAAAGGAAAAGAAAACAUCAAGAGAAAAGAAAAGAAAAGGAAAAGAAAAGAAAAAACAAAGUAAACAAAGCAAAACAAGACAAAACAAAAACAAAACAAAAUAAAACAAAUUAAAACAUAAUAAA